rnacentral:tRNA from 1 species
GUGCAGCAGGGCGUUGGGGGCGCGCUUGAGGUUGAUGCCCUCCAAUCGCGCGAGUUCUGCGGCCCGCGUCGUACC